GCAGUGGUGGCCUAGUGGAUAAGGUGAUUUACUAAAGAUCGAAAGGUCACUGGUUCAAUCAAAAGCUCCACUGGG